GACGAACGCUGGCGGCGUGCCUAAUACAUGCAAGUCGAACGAGAGCGACCGGUGCUUGCACUGGUCAAUCUAGUGGCGAACGGGUGAGUAACACGUGGGUAACCUGCCCAUCAGAGGGGGAUAACAUUCGGAAACGGAUGCUAAAACCGCAUAGGUCUUCGAACCGCAUGGUUUGAAGAGGAAAAGAGGCGCAAGCUUCUGCUGAUGGAUGGACCCGCGGUGCAUUAGCUAGUUGGUGAGGUAACGGCUCACCAAGGCCGUGAUGCAUAGCCGACCUGAGAGGGUGAUCGGCCACAUUGGGACUGAGACACGGCCCAAACUCCUACGGGAGGCAGCAGUAGGGAAUCUUCCGCAAUGGACGCAAGUCUGACGGAGCAACGCCGCGUGAGUGAAGAAGGAUUUCGGUUCGUAAAACUCUGUUGUUAGAGAAGAACAGCGCAUAGAGUAACUGUUAUGCG
rnacentral:rRNA from 1 species